AUUAUAAUACUCUGGUAAGUCGCUCUGGAUAAGAGCGUCUGCUAAAUGACUUAAA
rfam:Salmo salar isolate Sally breed double haploid chromosome ssa28, whole genome shotgun sequence.